UAGGCUUCGCUUGCUGCUUGGUCGCUAGCUACGCUAGCUGCCACGGCUCCAUUAAACUGUUCUUUAUCCAUACACCCUGCUAGUAAAUAAGCAUCUUCGUUUCGAGUUCAGAGAAGACGACGAAAAGGCAUCUUUGUUCCAUCUUGAGACAUUUUGUUCCAUCAUGCGGACCGAACUAUGCGUGCACUUUCAUUGUUACAAAAGACUAGCACAUAUGCCUAUUAUGCAUUGUAAUGGUCGGGAGAGAUAAUUGAUGUUUCCAUAAAAUACGGUCUUG
rnacentral:lncRNA from 1 species